AAAUUGAAGAGUUUGAUCAUGGCUCAGAUUGAACGCUGGCGGCAGGCCUAACACAUGCAAGUCGAGCGGUAGCACAGAGAGCUUGCUCUCGGGUGACGAGCGGCGGACGGGUGAGUAAUGUCUGGGAAACUGCCUGAUGGAGGGGGAUAACUACUGGAAACGGUAGCUAAUACCGCAUAAUGUCGCAAGACCAAAGUGGGGGACCUUCGGGCCUCAUGCCA
rnacentral:rRNA from 1 species